UCCUGUACUGAGCUGCCCCGAGGUCCUUCAUUGUGCUCAGCUCGGGGCAGCUCAGUACAGGAU
rnacentral:pre_miRNA from 1 species